rfam:Cupriavidus sp. SK-3 Scaffold28, whole genome shotgun sequence.
GUCGCUGCAACCACAGCGACCGGGAUUGGCGUCCCGAACGAAAAGGCGGAUCGCCGCCGCCAGGCGGCAUUUUU